rnacentral:rRNA from 1 species
ACUCAAAGGAAUAGACGGGGGCCCGCACAAGCGGUGGAGCAUGUGGUUUAAUUCGACGCAACGCGAAGAACCUUACCAAGGCUUGACAUCCAUAGAAUCUUUCAGAGAUGAGAGAGUGCCCUUCGGGGAACUAUGAGACAGGUGGUGCAUGGUUGUCGUCAGCUCGUGUCGUGAGAUGUUGGGUUAAGUCCCGCAACGAGCGCAACCCCUAUAUUCAGUUGCCAGCACUUCGGGUGGGAACUCUGGAUAGACUGCCGGUGACAAACCGGAGGAAGGUGGGGAUGACGUCAAAUCAUCAUGCCCCUUAUGUCUUGGGCUACACACGUGCUACAAUGGGCAGUACAGACGGAAGCGAAGCCGUGAGGUGGAGCAAAUCCGAGAAAGCUGUUCGUAGUUCGGAUUGCAGGCUGCAACUCGCCUGCAUGAAGUCGGAAUCGCUAGUAAUCGCAGGUCAGCACACUGCGGUGAAUACGUUCCCGGGCCUUGUACACACCGCCCGU